UACGUAGGGGGCAAGCGUUGUCCGGAAUUAUUGGGCGUAAAGAGCGUGUAGGCGGUCCGGUAAGUCAGCUGUGAAAGUCAAGGGCUCAACCCUUGAAUGCCGGUUGAUACUGUCGGGCUAGAGUCCGGAAGAGGCGAGUGGAAUUCCCGGUGUAGCGGUGAAAUGCGCAGAUAUCGGGAGGAACACCAAUAGCGAAGGCAGCUCGCUGGGACGUUACUGACACUGAGGCGCGAAAGCGUGGGGAGCGAACAGG
rnacentral:rRNA from 1 species